rnacentral:rRNA from 1 species
CCCAAUGACGUCUCUAGAAGACAUCUGAAAGAGAUUAAAGAUUUAUCGGUGAUGGAUGGGGGAUGCGUCUGAUUAGCUGUUGGCGGGGUAACGGCCCACCAAGGCGACGAUCCAGUAGGGGUUCUGAGAGGAAGGCCCCCCACAUUGGAACUGAGACACGGUCCAAACUCCUACGGGAGGCAGCAGUGAGGAAUAUUGGUCAAUGGACGAGAGUCUGAACCAGCCAAGUAGCGUGCAGGAUGACGGCCCUAUGGGUUGUAAACUGCUUUUAUAAGGGAAUAAAGUGAGUCUCGUGAGACUUUUUGCAUGUACCUUAUGAAUAAGGACCGGCUAAUUCCGUG